GGAAUUGGAAGACAUGAAGAAGAGAUUGAGGAAGAAGCAGGGACAAUGCGAGAUAAGCAGGCCAAGGUGGAGAAACAGAUUGUCGAGGCUCAAGGUCUUUUUAUUACUCUCUAAGUGCUUGUUUCUAUAUAUGUUUGAUGUUAUAUAUAGAUGUAUUUUAAAAAUUUUUGACUUUGGCUUCGUUUGCUUUUUAACUAAAUUGCCCAUGAUGGGUUUAUUUUGUCAUAUUUGCAGAUUCCAGUGGUUUAAGACUUUCAGAUGAAUAGGAAAUAUCAUACUUUCUGUCGCAGUGGUUACAACAUUAGUGAAUAUGGAAUUUAUUUAGCAGAUACCUCACAAGAGGCUAUAAGAUAGUAUUUUUGUUGUAAGUUCAUUUUCCUAAUGAUAUUGACUCCUUUUGACAGAUUUUGAAUGUUGAGAAAUAAAAAUUUAAUACAUCAUUAAAGAUUUCUAUAUAAGGAAAGAUAAUUGUGAGAACUUACAACAAGGGGCCAUUUAAGGCAAAGUGGAGUACUAAUGUUCCUAAAUUAGUAAUGAUACAUUUUAAAAAGUACUACGUUGAUCACGUGAAGAGCUUUAUGAAUUUACGAUUGCUUGAGAACUACAUGAAAAGCCACGAUAUGCUCCUGAGGUAGGCAUUAUACCUGUUACCAAAAGUAGGUAGAGCAUUAAGGAAUUAAGGAAUAUGCUCUUAAUUGUCAUUGACCUUAUUUCAAUUUAUUAAAUAACGUUUAAUUUUUUUCACUUUCUCAUUUUUAGCGCUGAGGUUAUCCACGUAUUGCAAAUUGUAGAAAAUACAAUUGUUUGAAAGGAUAGAUUCAUGUCUUCUCUUGACUAUCCAUUAUUUUAUUGUGUUUUGCGCUAUGUGACAUUGCGACUUUUCUUCUUUCUUGUUGCUAAAUAUCAUCGAAAUAUGUGAUUGGUGAUUGUUCCUUUGUUGUCUAUGGUUUUCGAUUUACAUUCUUCAUUUUGCAUCAGUUUGCUUUAGGUAAGAAUCCUAUUGUUCUCUAAAAUUUUCGGUUUUAAUCGUUGAUAUCGUUUGUCUAAUCAUGCGGCACACAAAUUAGGAAUUAUUAGUUGAAUUUAUAAUCGAUGCUAUAAUUUUUUUGAUGUUAUUUAAUGUUGGAAAGUUAAAGCAAUGAAGUGAAAAAAAUUGGUAAUACCAAAGAGGAAAAGAAUAUAGAUAUAAUUAGAGGCUUUGCUAUUAAGGGCAUAUCCUACAAAGGCACAUUUGAUACCUCUAGGAAAUAACUUGGUUCUCUUUGGAUCCAUAUUUUUUUAAUACGCAAGGCACCCCCACACUUUAAAAUAAUUAAUAUUUGGUUUUCUACCUUUCCAAAGUUCAUAUGGGGAAAUUAUAUUCUUUUUCAUAGGAAUUCUAUUUGUUAUAUGACAAGCACAAAGUAAUGUUUCACCCCAUAAAUUAAAAGGUAAUUCAGAAUUUACUAACAUAACAUUUAUCAUUUCCAAAUAAGUUGUAUUCUUUCUUUUUGUUAAUCCAUUUUGUUCCGGUGUUCUAGGUGCAGAAGAUUGAUGUAUUAUUCCAUUUUGUUCACAAAAUAUGUUAAAUUCAUUUGAAAAAUACUCUCCACCUCUAUCACUUCUUAAAGUUUUUAAUUUUCUUCCUAAUUGAUUUUUAACUUCAAUCUUGUAAGUUUUAAAGGCACUAAAGGCUUCAUCCUUAUGUUUAAGUAAGUAUACAUAGAACAAUCAUCAAUAAAAGUAAUAAAAUAUCUAUUACCGCCUCUAGUUAAUAUUCCAUUCAAUUCACAAAUGUCGGAAUGAACAAGUUCAAGUAAUUUUGUUGUUUUUUCUAUGCUAUGAAAUGGCUUUUUAAUCAUUUUUUAUUUAACACAUAUUUCACAUUUUUCUAAGUUAUCAAUAUCACAUUGUAUUAAUCCACAUUUAAUCAUUCUUUUCAUAGUACUAACUCCUAUAUGUGCUAAUCUACCAUGCCAUAAAUUAAAUGAAUCAAUAACAUAUGCAAAAGAUUUAAUUUUAUUUGAGUUAUCCUCAACAGUACAUAGCUUGACCAUUCCUUCGGUGGAAUAGCCCUUUCCAACAAAAUGUCCACUAUGGGUUAAUACAAGUUUUCCAGAUUCAAAAACAGAUUUAAUCCCGAGUUUUCCCAAGAGUAUACCACUUGCUAAGUUCCUAUUCAUUUCCGGUACAUGCAUGACAUUUGUUAAAGUGAUCUUCUUUCCCGAAGUGAAAAGGAGUUCAACAUUUCCUUUACCGAUCACCUUUGAUCUUCCUUCAUUUCCCAUUUGUAUUUCAAUGUCAUGAUAAGUUUUGAAGAGAGACUUAUCAUAACAUACAUGGAUUGAGCGCAUGUAUCGUACCACCAGCUCGGAACUUUGCCUUGGAUUGCAUUGAUUUCACUCACUAUUGCAAUAAUUUCAUCAACAGAGUUCACUUGUCCUUCCUUCUUAUGUUGUUUCCUAUGCCUGCAAUCUUUAGCAUAGUGUCCCAGUUUCCCACAAACAUAGCACGGUCCUUUGGCUUUGUUUUUAAAUUUUCCUUGAUCCUUUCUAGGACCAAGAAAUUUCCCUUUCUUUUUGAACUUGUUGGAGUUGUCCACAUUGUCCACGGCAUUGGCUAGAUUUAAAUCGAAAGAUAUUUAGUCCUUAUGCAUGAGUAUCAUAUGAUUUGAGUAUGAGAUUCCUUUAUUGAAUUUUGAACAUGUGGAGGAUUGUUGAAUUGUUGUUCGAAAUUCAAUUAACGAAUGAAGAUGGAAUGAAACAAUAUGAAGGAAGCCAAGGAAAAUGGUGUGGAAACCAAACGGUGGCCCAUUAUUUGUGCCAUGCGGCCGCAUGGCCAUCACCCGAGAUUUGAAGGCCACGUUUGAAGUACUCCAUGCUACCGCAUGGAGUAAUACCAUGCGGUCGUAUGGUUGAGUUACGUGACCAUUAGAGGCCGUUUCAAGCCGAUUUUUUGGCGGGUUUUGGGGGGGUUUUCACAACCUUUCAUGAUGUUUUGGCACCUAUUCAUGAAGUGUUGAUUCAAAUCUAUAUAUAGAUGAUGGAGGAAUUAAUACACUAUAUAUGAAAAUCAAAUGAAAACAUUUGAGAUCAACAUUCAUUCCAAAAUCAAAGAUUAUACUCUCGAUUUAUAUUCAUACUCAUAUCUUCCUUGUGUUCUUAAAGUUUUGGAGGAUCGCACUUAUGCUUUAGUGCUAGGUCCUUUUCAAGGCUUGUUAUAAUCCUACAAACCGUUUGUCAAGAUCAUUAAGCAUCUCAUUCAAUCUCGAGAGGAGGCAAAUAUAGUUUGAGGAUAGCAAUUAUGCGUUCGAGCCUUCAAUUUUAUUAUAUUCUUCAUCUUCUUUGUUUCAUUCUCUUGAUUAUAUUUUCUGGAAUUUUAUUCUGCAUGGUUAUAGUGCAAGUGGCCCUCCCAGUUUCGGGAGGGCCCCAUGCGGUUGUAUGAUUAUACAAAGUGACCGUUGGGGAUUCGUUUUUUACCGUUUUUCUUUUGAAUUUAGCGCCUUUUCAACAUAAUUUUGCAUCAUUUCGUGGGAACCCUUCAUAGCCUAUAAAUAGGUGUUCCAAUUGCAAUGAAAAACACUCUUGAGAAAAUUAAGAAAUCCACCACAAAAUUAUUCAUCCAAAUUAUCACAUAAUCAAUCAUAUAUUUAUUUUCACUUGUUCUUUGUGAAAGAUACACUUUGCUUUUGGUGUUCUUCACACAAAGGCUUGUUUAAUCCUACAAACUAUUUGCCGGAGCUCCUCAAAAGCAUUGGAAAGGGGGCAAAUAACGUUUGAGGAUAGCGUUAUCAUUUUCGUGUUCAAGCCUCUAAUUAUAUCUCUAUUCUUUUCCUCUUUGGUAUUACCAAUUUUCUUCACUUCAUUGCUUUAACUUUCCAACAUUUAAAGCUGAGGUCUUCACAAAGAAAGACCCCUGUUUGCAGCCUUUGUGUUACUGAUUACAAUUUUACAUUGGUUGUAAUAUAAUGAUAUACUUCAAGUCAGGAUUUUCACAUUAUCUUCAUCUCAUUUUUUCUCCUACAAUGAUUGCUUAAAUAGGUGGGAUCUUUGUAUCUAUUCAAUAAGAGAGUCCUUAAUUUUAUUUUAUUUUUGCAAAGAUGGUCAUAAAUAGCACAAAAGGAAGGAUUAGCUCCAUAACAAGGUAUCCCCCUCCCCCUGAAUACAUUCAUACAUAGAUUUUUUGACUCUAUGCCUGUAUGGCUUAACUCUUCUCAACAUACAGAAAUUGAUUUUUUAUUUUUUUUUGGCUUUGUGCAUGUAGGAUUUAAUUGAACUGAUAAAAUAUUUUCUUUCAGGAUUACCUUAUGCUCAAUUACUAGCAAAUGCACUAGCAGCAAUUCAGAAGAAAAGUAAGAUAAAUUCUUGAAUUUUCUACCAUUGAAGAAACUUUGAGAUUAUUUAUCUCAAUACAUUUU
rnacentral:lncRNA from 1 species